ACGUAAUAGUGUAACGACGGUUCCCCCCCGACCGAGAGCGAAGGGGAUUAAUAGGGAACACGGUGAGGACGACCCGAAAAGGGGCCGAGACCGUGGCUGCCCCCCCCGCAACUGUAAGCGGAUUGCCGUUCAUCCUCGUGACGUUGAAAGCGUCAUGCCACUGCGCCGGAGAAACGCGGGAAGGCAGAUGAACAGCAGAUAUUCGCGAGCCAGGAGACCUGCCGUCUAGUGUUGUCCAUU
rnacentral:ncRNA from 2 species